rnacentral:rRNA from 1 species
UACAGAGGGGGCAAGCGUUAUUCGGAAUUAUUGGGCGUAAAGGGCGCGUAGGCGGCCUGGCAAGUGGAAGGUGAAAUCCCUCGGCUUAACCGAGGAACUGCCCUCCAAACUGCUUGGCUUGAGUCCGGGAGAGGUGAGUGGAAUUCCCAGUGUAGCGGUGAAAUGCGUAGAUAUUGGGAGGAACACCAGUGGCGAAGGCGGCUAUCUGGACGUUUUACUGACGCUGAGGCGCGAAAGCGUGGGGAGCAAACAGG